rnacentral:rRNA from 1 species
AUUGAACGCUGGCGGCAGGCUUAACACAUGCAAGUCGAACGAGUGGCGGACGGGUGAGUAAUGUAUGGGGACUGCCCGAUAGAGGGGGAUAACUACUGGAAACGGUGGCUAAUACCGCAUACUAUCGGAUAACCCAUAUGGGAUUAGCUUGUAGGUGAGGUAACGGCUCACCUAGGCGACGAUCCCUAGCUGGUCUGAGAGGAUGAUCAGCCACACUGGGACUGAGACACGGCCCAGACUCCUACGGAGGCAGCAGUGGGGAAUAUUGCACAAUGGGCGCAAGCCUGAUGCAGCCAUGCCGCGUGUAUGAAGAAGGCCUUCGGGUUGUAAAGUACUUUCAGUCGGGAGGCGUUACCGACAGAAGAAGCACCGGCUAACUCCGUGCCAGCAGCCGCGGUAAUAC